CGUGAAAUAGCACAAUUCCAGUGAUUUUAACGGACUUUGACUCCGUCACUCGUGGGUUCAAAUCCCGCUAUCCCAGCCA
rnacentral:tRNA from 1 species